AGCCACAGCCAUAUCACCCUGCAGCCCAAGACUGGUUGCCCAUGGAAGCUAAGCAGGGUUGAGUCUGGUCAGUACCUGGAUGGGAGACCUCUUGGGAAAACUAGGUUGCUGUUGGAA
rnacentral:rRNA from 1 species